ACGGUCCACUGAGAGCCGUGGCCACGCCUCAGGUGCGCAGGGAGAGCCAAGAAGCUGCUCGGGGAGGAACAGGUGUGGGAGGGGGAGGAGCGGGAGCAGCUUCCCUGCCCAGGAUCCUCCCGGAGCAGGAGCCCAGGUCUGGGUCGCUGUGGCCUCUGCCCGGAUGCAGGGCGGGGCUCGCCCUCUCUCCAAGGUCACCCACUGCUGAAGGGCAGGGGGCCUGGGACCAGCCUGCUCCACCUGCCACCGCAGGGAGGCCGGCGUCGGGUUUGCAGGAGAGGGGCCACCUGUGAAUGCCGGCAAGCCAGGUGGGCUGGCCGCCUCGACAGGAAUGCCCACCACUUGGACGUCCCCAGGUCGCUGAGCCACAAAAUUGCUUGCAUGUGCUGAGAACAGCAUCGCCCAGGAGACGGUGGAGAUGGAAAAUCCCCAGGAGACCUGCCAGAGGUGACGGCUCACCUUCCAGGGAGUACGGCAAGCUUCCUUGGCAACCUGGGAUCUGACUCAGCGGAAGAAUCACAGGUGUGGGCGAGUGAGACGAGGCUCUCGAAUCACGGACCUGUCAUCCGUGAGGCUUUCAUGCAGGCCGCUGGCCGUCGGAUUCGGGAAAGCGAGCCAGGGAGCGAACGCCGAUUACACACUCACCCCGCACCCUGCGCCCCACGCCCCGGCUUCGGCGCUACUGUCUGAAGAGUCCCCAACUUCUUCUGGAUUUCAGGCUCUGGGCGUCUGCCAGAGAAGUUCCCACCUUGUCACGGGAACCAAUCCAGGAGAUGUCAGUCACAUGGGAAGUGGUAGGGUUUGCUGUGUGGUGGGCCCCGGAGAAGCUGGUGGACGGGGGCUGGGGAGGGGGCAGCCUCCUGCUCGGUGACCAGGCCACGCGGCCACGGCCACGACACGGGGAGGCAGGGGCCUGCCGAACCCACGGGGUGGGGAGCUGUUCCAGGUGAGAGCAGCACUCACGGGAAAGGAGCAUCUGCGGAAACCUCCGGAAGGAGGCGAGCGUUUCAGAGUCCAUGUUGGCAGAACAGAAGGCCUCCACGUGGCUGUGGACGGCCGUGGGCGUGGGACCCCCUGGACCCCAACCUGGUCAGAUCCUCACCCUCGUCCUCGGAGACUGGGUGGCGCCUCGGACGCGUCCCCUGAAUGAGGGAUCCGCCCCCACACGCAGGAGCAGGAGGCCCGGGACUGCCCUCCAGGACACGCCUCCGUCUGAGUUAAAGCCUCCUCGUGGGUCAUCUCCACCACGUGCCACGAUCGUCCAAACAAACCACGUUUACGCCGGAGCGUUUCUGGGGCCGAAGUAAAUAAAGUUCAGAGGUGACGACUAGUCAGGAUGUUUAAGACUGCAUUUCUGGUAAAAAAAUUAUUGUUAUUAUAGGAAACAUAAAGAGCAGGUACUUCACACACCGCCUAAACCAGUUACCCAUUACCUGAGAUGCCCACGCAGUGGGGACUACCGCUUAUUCCUGGGUUUUUUACAUUAAAACAUUUUCGAUCACGGCUGGCAGUCGACAGUCUGUCAGUUUCAGGUGAGCGGCAGUGUGGUCAGACACUCACGCACCUCGCCAAGUGGCCCCACCGGCACCACACACGGCUAGGCCACGGCGUGGAUUAUAUUCCCCGCACCGACCUUCCCGGCCCUGGACCCUUCCACUGUGUCUGCUGCGCAGGUGGGGACGGCGAGGCCGGAGCUGGUGGUGGGCCCCCAGUGGCCCCGCUGUUCACCUAGCUGGGCGGCCGUGACCCGCUGUCCAGAGGGGGCGCGUGGUCGUUGCUGCCCUCAAUGACCACGAGCAGAGUAGUUCCCCUGCUCCCCGGGGUAGUUUGUCCCUCAUCGUAGGAGAUUCAGUCGGCAGCAGGUUCUCUGAAACCGUAGGUUUUUGCUGCCUUUAGACACGUGCCCUUUGCUCUAGGUAAAACGUGGUGUAACACAUACUACCAAGUAUCGGCGUGAUAACUGAUACUGAAUAACUAACACUACCCAGGUAAAGCCUGCGGCUGCAACGAGAGGUGAUGAGCCCACAACCCAGGGUUUGCAUGUGGAGACGCCAAACCCACCGGGCCAACUCUCUGAGACCACGGAGCAUCCCGCUGUUUGGUGUUGUCAAAGCUCUGCUAGUCAGUUCCUGAGUUUUGAAAGCAUCAGUGGUUCUUGCAAAGUUACAUUAUUUCUGACCCUGCAAAGCAGGGCUUGGGACCCAAAGUGUUGGCACCUCUUUAGAGGGAAAAACAUCUGUUUGUAGAUCAGGAAUUGGAUCUGGGUGUAAUUUUGGGUGUAAAAUAGGACUGCUUAAAAUAGAUUUAUUUAUAGUGUGCAGUGCCUGGUGAGACCAAUUUUAUUUUUAAUACAGAGCCUUACCAUGACUUUUACCCUCUAGACCAUCUUUUGCCCAAUACACACACACCUGGA